rnacentral:rRNA from 1 species
UACGGAGGGUGCAAGCGUUAUCCGGAUUCACUGGGUUUAAAGGGUGCGUAGGCGGGCAGGUAAGUCCGUGGUGAAAUCUCUGAGCUUAACUCAGAAACUGCCAUGGAUACUAUUUGUCUUGAAUGUUGUGGAGGUAAGCGGAAUAUGUCAUGUAGCGGUGAAAUGCUUAGAUAUGACAUAGAACUCCAAUUGCGAAGGCAGCUUACUACACAAAUAUUGACGCUGAGGCACGAAAGCGUGGGGAUCAAACAGG